AGAGACUUAGGAUAGAAUCUAGACCAAGGGCCUUCAAAGCCCUUAGCAGGAGUGAAAAUCUCCUAGUCCCUG
rnacentral:tRNA from 1 species